rnacentral:rRNA from 1 species
AUGCAAGUCGAACGAUGAAGUUCCUUCGGGAAUGGAUUAGUGGCGAACGGGUGAGGAACACGUGAGAAACCUGCCUUUCAUUCUGGAAUAACACCGGGAAACCGGUGCUAAUACCGGAUACUCCACCUUGGCGGCAUCGCCGAGCUGGGAAAAAUUUUGAUGAAAGAUGGUCUCGCGGCCUAUCAGCUAGUUGGUGAGGUAAAGGCUCACCAAGGCGACGACGGGUAGCCGGCCUGAGAGGGCGACCGGCCACACUGGGACUGAGACACGGCCAGACUCC